AGGUAUUGAAGUAAAAAAAAUUACAUUUAGUUUCGGCCUAAAUUUAGAAAGUUAUUUUCCUUAUCUA
rnacentral:tRNA from 1 species